rnacentral:misc_RNA from 1 species
AAGUCGUAACAAGGUUUCCGUAGGUGAACCUGCGGAAGGAUCAUUAAUAAUUUUUUUUCAUCUAAUGAUGAAUAAAAUUAACCUUGUGUGCAAACAUUGCUUUGAAAGGAAGAAGGUGAAUACCUUCAUCCUAAAAACAAAAACACAUCAUCAAACUUUUAUGUAAAAACAAAAUAUAUUUAUAAUAAAAUACAACUUUCAACAACGGAUCUCUUGGCUCUC